UACGAAGGGGGCUAGCGUUGUUCGGAAUCACUGGGCGGAAAGGGCGCGUAGGCGGCCGAUCAAGUCGGGGGUGAAAGCCUGUGGCUCAACCACAGAAUUGCCUUCGAUACUGUUUGGCUUGAGACCGGAAGAGGUUAGUGGAACUGCGAGUGUAGAGGUGAAAUUCGUAGAUAUUCGCAAGAACACCAGUGGCGAAGGCGGCUGACUGGUCCGGUACUGACGCUGAGGCACGAAAGCGUGGGGAGCAAACAGG
rnacentral:rRNA from 1 species